rnacentral:rRNA from 1 species
GAUGAACGCUGGCGGCGUGCCUAAUACAUGCAAGUCGAGCGAACAGACGAGGAGCUUGCUCCUCUGACGUUAGCGGCGGACGGGUGAGUAACACGUGGAUAACCUCCCUAUCAGACUGGGAUAACUUCGGGAAACCGGAGCUAAUACCGGAUAAUAUAUUGAACCGCAUGGUUCAAUAGUGAAAGACGGUUUUGCUGUCACUUAUAGAUGGAUCCGCGCCGCAUUAGCUAGUUGGUAAGGUAACGGCUUAUCAAGGCGACGAUGCGUAGCCGACCUGAGAGGCUGAUAGGCCACACUGGAGCUGAGACACGGUCCAGACGACUACGGGAGGCAGCAGUAGGGAACCUUACGCAAUGGGCGAAAGCCUGACGGAGCAACGCCGCGUGAGUGAUGAAGGUCUUCGGAUCGUAAAACUCUGUUAUUAGGGAAGAACAAAUGUGUAAGUAACUAUGCACGUCUUGACGGUACCUAAUCAGAAAGCCACGGCUAACUACGUG